GAGGAUAUAGCUCAGUGGUAGAAUACAUGCUUAGCAUGCACGAGGUCCUGGGUUCAAUCCCCAGUACCUCCU
rnacentral:tRNA from 1 species